rnacentral:lncRNA from 1 species
CAUGAUUUGCUCUUCUUUUUCUUUCUUAUCUCUCUCUUCGUUUUCUCUCAUGUUACCCACCUCAAACCCCAACCCUGGUCCUCUCCAUCACCAUCUCCAUCUCCAUAAUGCCAACCCUAGCACUAAGCCUAACCCUAAUCGAGAGCCCUCUACAACCCCACCACCAUCUCGAUCUCUGCAACUCCAGUCCUAGUCCUAACCUUAUUCCUUACCUUUGUGACUCUUCUCAACCCAAAACCCUAGCUUUCUUCACUACCAUGUCCAUCUCCAUAGACCAAACCCUAACCCUAACCCAAACCUUAGCACUAACCCUAACCCUCCCCACCACCAUCUCGAUGCUAGCCCUAGUCCAAACCUGAACCCUUACCCUCCGUGGAUCUUUCCAAUUGAAGACCCUAGCUCUCUCCUCCACCAUCUCCAUCUCCAUCGUCCAAACCCUAACACCAAUCCAAACCCCAACCCCAACCCCAACCCUAACCAUAACCCUGACCCAAUAGCUCAUCUUAACCCUAAUUAGGGACCUAACCUAAACCCUAAGUCUAACCCAAACCCUAUCGGUAACCCUAGCUCUAACCUAACAUCUAGGCUAAUCCUAAUUGAAAACCAACCCAAAAACUUCCAACUCGAAACCCAUCAACCCAAUCCCCGAUAACUCGACUACCUAAUGGCCUGAUACCCGCAAACCAAAAUCUAAUAACCCAAUAUCUUAAUAACCC